GGAUUAGAUACCCUGGUAGUCCUAGCUGUAAACGGUGCGCAUUUGCUGUAGGUGGAUUCGACCCCAUCUGUGGCGAAGCUAACGCGUUAAAUGCGCCGCCUGGGGAGUACGGUCGCAAGGCUAAAACUCAAAGAAAUUGACGGGGGCCUGCACAAGCGGUGGAGUAUGUGGCUUAAUUCGAUACAACGCGAAGAACCUUACCUGGGCUUGACAUGUAGGUGUUAUUGAACCGAAAGGGGAUAGACCUAGCAAUAGGAGCCUACACAGGUGCUGCAUGGCUGUCGUCAGCUCGUGCCG
rnacentral:rRNA from 1 species